rnacentral:rRNA from 1 species
CGUGGCGGGGUGCUAUACAUGCAAGUCGAGCGCGGGAAGCAGACUGAAUCCUUCGGGAGGACGUCUGUGGAACGAGCGGCGGACGGGUGAGUAACACGUGGGCAACCUGCCUGUAAGACUGGGAUAACUCCGGGAAACCGGGGCUAAUACCGGAUAACUCAUCGGAUCGCAUGAUCCGAUGUUGAAAGAUGGCUUCUCGCUAUCACUUACAGAUGGGCCCGCGGCGCAUUAGCUAGUUGGUGAGGUAACGGCUCACCAAGGCCACGAUGCGUAGCCGACCUGAGAGGGUGAUCGGCCACACUGGGACUGAGACACGGCCCAGACUCCUACGGGAGGCAGCAGUAGGGAAUCAUCCGCAAUGGACGAAAGUCUGACGGUGCAACGCCGCGUGAGUGAGGAAGGCCUUCGGGUCGUAAAACUCUGUUGUUAGGGAAGAACAAGUUCCGUUCGAAUAGGGCGGAGCCUUGACGGUACCUAACCAGAAAGCCACGGCUAACUACGUGCCAGCAGCCGCGGUAAUACGUAGGUGGCAAGCGUUGUCCGGAAUUAUUGGGCGUAAAGCGCGCGCAGGCGGUUCCUUAAGUCUGAUGUGAAAGCCCACGGCUCAACCGUGGAGGGUCAUUGGAAACUGGGGAACUUGAAGACAGAAGAGGAGAGCGGAAUUCCACGUGUAGCGGUGAAAUGCGUAGAGAUGUGGAGGAACACCAGUGGCGAAGGCGGCUCUCUGGUCUGUGCUUGACGCUGAGGCGCGAAAGCGUGGGGAGCGAACAGGAUUAGAUACCCUGGUAGUCCACGCCGUAAACGAUGAGUGCUAGGUGUUAGGGGUUUCCACCCUUAGUGCUGCAGUUAACGCAAUAAGCACUCCGCCUGGGGAGUACGGCCGCAAGGCUGAAACUCAAA